GUGUCUCCAAACGGUUCUCCCUCUUUCUCUCUUUUGCUUUAUCACCCUCUCUGCAUCAAAUCAAAAGACAAACAAAAGCAAGGGAUCAAUUUACUCCGUUACAUUUUCUCCAUUUGCUCAUUCAUAUACACACAUAUAUUUAUAGAUACAGUCAUAUAUACCGAGUUCCUUUUUUCCUUUGAGUCAAGAGGAAUAUAUACCAAAACCCCCAUUGAAGCGAUUUGAUAAAAUUGUUACCUUUUAGUGUUAGGGUUUGUAAUUUGUAAAUCCAAUGGCCCAGGAGUCAUUGCAGAAAUGUUAUUAUGAUGAUGAUAAUUCAUCAGAAGUCUCAGUUUAUUUAGAUACAAAAAUAGCUGCAGAAGAUGAUGGUAAAGUUAAUGACAAUGACAACGGAUUGGGGGGCAGGAACACUUCAAAUCCUUCAGG
rnacentral:lncRNA from 1 species